rnacentral:rRNA from 1 species
AUUGAACGCUGGCGGCAGGCCUAACACAUGAAAGUCGAACGAGUGGCGGACGGGUGAGUAAUGUCUGGGAAACUGCCUGAUGGAGGGGGAUAACUACUGGAAACGGUAGCUAAUACCGCAUACCAUCGGAUGGGGCCAGAUGGGAUUAGCUAGUAGGUGGGGUAAAGGCUCCCCUAGGCGACGAUCCCUAGCAGGUCUGAGAGGAUUACCAGCCACAUUGGAACUGAUCCGCGGUCCCGACUCCUACGGGACGCGCCAGUGGGGAAUAUGGCACAAUGGGCGCAAGCCUGAUGCAGCCAUGCCGAGUGUAUGCAGAAGGCCUUCGGUUUGUAAAGUUCUUUCAGCGGGCAGGCGUUACCCACAGAAGAAGCACCGGCUAACUCCGUGCCAGCAGCCGCGGUAAUAC